AGUGAACGCUGGCGGUAGGCCUAACACAUGCAAGUCGAACGGCAGCACAGUAAGAGCUUGCUCUUACGGGUGGCGAGUGGCGGACGGGUGAGGAAUACAUCGGAAUCUACUUUUUCGUGGGGGAUAACGUAGGGAAACUUACGCUAAUACCGCAUACGACCUACGGGUGAAAGCAGGGGAUCUUCGGACCUUGCGCGAUUGAAUGAGCCGAUGUCGGAUUAGCUAGUUGGCGGGGUAAAGGCCCACCAAGGCGACGACCCGUAGCUGGUCUGAGAGGAUGAUCAACCACACUGGAACUGAGACACGGUCCAGACUCCUACGGGAGGCAGCAGUGGGGAAUAUUGGACAAUGGGCGCAAGCCUGAUCCAGCCAUACCGCGUGGGUGAAGAAGGCCUUCGGGUUGUAAAGCCCUUUUGUUGGGAAAGAAAAGCAGCAGGUUAAUACCCCGCUGUUCUGACGGUACCCAAAGAAUAAGCACCGGCUAACUUCGUG
rnacentral:rRNA from 1 species